GAUGAACGCUAGCGGCAGGCUUAACACAUGCAAGUCGAGGGGUAUAGGUUUUCGGACCUAGAGACCGGCGCACGGGUGCGUAACGCGUAUGCAAUCUACCUUUCAUAGAGGGAUAGCCCAGAGAAAUUUGGAUUAAUACCUCAUAGUAUAGCAGUUUCGCAUGAAACCACUAUUAAAGUUCCAACGGUGAAAGAUGAGCAUGCGUCCCAUUAGCUAGAUGGUAAGGUAACGGCUUACCAUGGCUACGAUGGGUAGGGGUCCUGAGAGGGAGAUCCCCCACACUGGUACUGAGACACGGACCAGACUCCUACGGGAGGCAGCAGUGAGGAAUAUUGGUCAAUGGACGCAAGUCUGAACCAGCCAUGCCGCGUGCAGGAUGACGGUCCUAUGGAUUGUAAACUGCUUUUGUACGAGAAGAAACAACAUUACGUGUAAUGUCUUGACGGUAUCGUAAGAAUAAGGAUCGGCUAACUCCGUGCCAGCAGCCGCAGUAAGAC
rnacentral:rRNA from 1 species